rnacentral:lncRNA from 1 species
AGCUUCCCGGCUGCUUUGUUUACCUAAUCAAGCCUGGGCAAUGGCGGGCUCCCCUCCCCCAGCCUCGCUGCUGCCUUGCAGUUUGAUCUCAGACUGCUGUGCUAGCAAUCAGCGAGACUCCGUGGGCGUAGGACCCUCCGAGCCAGGUGUGGGAUAUAGUCUCGUGGUGCGCCGUUUUUUAAGCCCGUCGGAAAAGCGCAGUAUUCGGGUGGGAGUGACCCGAUUUUCCAGGUGCGUCCGUCACCCCUUUCUUUGACUCGGAAAGGGAACUCCCUGACCCCUUGCGCUUCCCAAGUGAGGCAAUGCCUCGCCCUGCUUCGGCUCGCGCACGGUGCGCGCACCCACUGACCUGCGCCCACUGUCUGGCACUCCCUAGAGAGAUGAACCCGGUACCUCAGAUGGAAAUGCAGAAAUCACCGUCUUCUGCGUCGCUCACGCUGGGAGCUGUAGACCAGAGCUGUUCCUAUUCGGCCAUCUUGGCUCCUUAUUCUCAUUACCUUCUUGAGUUGUGGCUCAGACACUACAACAGAGCUCUGUCACCUCUUUCUAAAAGCUGGGAAAUGGUUAUUGUCAACGCCAGCCCCAUUUUGGAGGCACCUGGUUGCAGGGGACCACAGCUAGCUGGGUGCGGUGGCUCAGGACUGUAAUUCCAGCUACAUGAGAGGAUUGCCUGAGGCCAGGAGUUUGAGACCAGCCUGAACAACAUAAUAGACUGGGAGCUCCAUGAGGUCCGAGACAACCUGAAGACGCCCAGCUCAGCAGAGACUGGCUACGGCAAUCACUCAGUAACUAUUUGUUGAAUUGGACAUAAUAGAAGAGCUGAAGAAUUUUAAACAAGUCACCAUCAGUGCAGUGGAUUCCUCAAAGCAAACCUGGAAAUCUCGGCAUGAGUUGGAUUUAAGGCAGUACAUUUUCAGCUCCUGAAAAUUUGAACAGUUUCUCAAGAGAACAACUUGAAACAGAAAGGCAAGGAUGUAGAUGUGGUUGUAGAAGAUGAUGUCUGCGGCCACCAAACUGUCCACUGUGAAGACAAACCAUGCAUGUUUAGUAGGCAGUGGCUCCUCUUCCCUGUGGGGAGUCCCACUGCUUCCCUGGCCUGGGUGUUCUCUGCCGGUAGAUGUUAUUGACAAAAUAAGCAAAGUCCUCUGAUUCUGAGAAUUAGAGUUAAUGAUAGCUCUAGAUUGCCUCUGCCAUGCUAUUUAAAGUCCUGCUUUAUUGUCUGACAUGAGUUCGGCAUCUAUGAGGACUUGUCCAGUGCAAAGUACAAUCUCCACUGAAAGAUAUCACCAGCACAUCUUGUCACUGUGCUGUAGCAAGCUGGGCAGUACAAUGAUGUUGGCAGGAUCCUGUUUAGGUGGAGGAUGGCCACCUGGGCAUCAAGAAUCUUCUACCCUGAUUCCACAUUGACUCCCCAAAGUGGGCUUCAGACAGCUCUUUACUUACGUCUUCUGAUUAAAGCAGCAGACAGGGUCCCAGCUAGAGAAAAGUUCUGGGAGCAGGAGAGGUGUUGGUGGCUUUAAAACCAGGGGUGAAGAUUGAAUUAGGAGGUUAGGCAGGAGUAGGAUCAAAGACUUAGAAAAUGCUUGUUUCCUCCUAUUAUUCUUAUGAGAGCUGAUACGGGGCUUUCAGUUUUGGGGGAGAGCCUUGGAAGAGAAUGAGGGAAUUUAAUCAACUAGCGGGACCUUUCCAACUUACAUUUCCCAGUGUUUGUUGGAUGAUACGUUUGCCUAAUAAGUUAAAGCUUCCAAAAAUAGAAAGGAAAGCUUGGUGACACUAAGCUCUGGCAUGCUGUCAUCUUCUGGCUAGGGGUCUUGUGCUUCUGUUUUUCUAUUUCUGACCAAAGACAUAAAAUGUGUUGUGACCUCUCAGGUAAUGCUGUGGUAUCAUGUCCAAGCAGUAACUAACCAGAGUGGAGUUUUUACAGGUAAAAAAGUAUUGAAUAGCUCAGCAACAGGGAGGACUUAAUGAUAAAUUGCUUUUUCAGAAAAUGACAAGGGGACAGACACUUGCGGUUCUUCCAUUGAGAGCCUUAAGGAAGUUAAGCGAAGCCUCUGCUCACCCCUUCAAGUAACGAUGACCCAUCAGAUCGUGGUCAUAACCAGUAGCAUCUGAGGCACCCCUAAGCUCUCUGGGCCCCAGAUUCCUUGUUAAGUUAAAUGAGGUGACUUCCCAGUUUACCAUUCUAGGGGUUCCUGAGGAGUUAAAAAUGAAGGAGAAAAUGCAACAUGUACCAAGUGAGCAAGAGCUCAAGGCUUAUCUCUGGCACGAAAGUGACCGCUGUCCGUUAGAGAUGUGAUUGCCCUAGAUUUCCUUUAGGAAAUGCAAACAUUGAACUCUGGCCUUCAGGACCCAAGUCCCGGCUUGCAUCUAUUCUAUACACUUUCUGUUAUUUGUUAGGGCUCACAAGGAACAGUUAUUUAUCUUUUAUUUUCUAUUUUUUUUUUAGAGAUGGAGUCUCACUCUGUCUCCCAGGCUGGAGUGCAGUGGUGCCAUCUCAGCUCACUGCAACCUCCACCUCCCGGGUUCAAGCAAUUCUCCUGUCUCAGCCUCCUGAGUAGCUGGGACUACAGGCGUGUGCCAUCAUGCCCGGCUAAUUUUUAGUAUUUUUAGUAGAGGCAGGGUUUCACCAUAUUGGCCAGGCUGGUCUUGAACUCCUG